UACGUAGGGUGCAAGCGUUGUCCGGAAUUAUUGGGCGUAAAGAGCUCGUAGGCGGUCUGUCGCGUCUGCUGUGAAAUCCUAGGGCUUAACCCCGAGCCUGCAGUGGAUACGGGCAGACUAGAGGUAGGUAGGGGAGAAUGGAAUUCCUGGUGUAGCGGUGGAAUGCGCAGAUAUCAGGAGGAACACCGAUGGCGAAGGCAGGUCACUGGGCCACUACUGACGCUGAGGAGCGAAAGCAUGGGGAGCGAACAGG
rnacentral:rRNA from 1 species